rnacentral:sRNA from 1 species
UGAGAAGAAAGAACUCUGUCAAACUUAGA